GACGAACGCUGGCGGCGUGCUUAACACAUGCAAGUCGAACGAAGUGGCGGACGGGUGAGUAAUACGUGGGUAACCUGCCCUCCUUUUUGGGAUAAGCAUAGGAAACGUGGUCUAAUACCGAAUAAAGGGGGACUGGCUCGCGGCCUAUCGGCUGGUUGGUGGGGUGAUGGCGUGCCAAGGGGGUGACGGGUAGCCGGCCUGGGAGGGUGCCCGGGAACAGUGAGACGGAGAUGCGGCCCAGGCUACGACGGAGGGCAGCAUGGGGGGAAAUUGCACAAUGGGCGAAAGAAUGAUGCAGCGACGCCGCGUGGGGGAUGAAGGCUGUCGUGUUGUAAACCUGGGUCGCAAUCGAUGGGGUAGGUGGAGAAGAAGCACCGGCUAACUACGUGCCAGCAGCCGCGGUAAUAC
rnacentral:rRNA from 1 species